rfam:Asian citrus Psyllid, Diaphorina citri - Florida Strain, whole genome shotgun sequence.
UGGCGUAGGGGUCACUGCGCUCGCCUUGCACGCGGGAGACCCGGGUUCGAUUCCCGG